rnacentral:rRNA from 1 species
GACGAACCGUGCGAACGUUGUUCGGAAUCACUGGGCUUAAAGGGCGCGUAGGCGGACCGGCGAGUCAGGGGUGAAAGCCCGCGGCCCAACCGCGGAAGUGCCCCUGAUACCGCCGGCCUUGAGGGGGAUAGGGGCGUGCGGAACUUCGGGUGGAGCGGUGAAAUGCGUAGAUAUCUGAAGGAACACCGGUGGCGAAGGCGGCACGCUGGGUCCCUACUGACGCUGAGGCGCGAAAGCCAGGGGAGCGAACGGG